GACGAGCGCUGGCGGCGUGCUUAACACAUGCAAGUCGAACGGAAAGGCCCUGCUUUUUUGGGGUGCUCGAGUGGCGAACGGGUGAGUAACACGUGAGUAACCUGCCUUUGACUUUGGGAUAACUUCAGGAAACUGGGGCUAAUACCGGAUAGGUGCUCCUGCUGCAUGGUGGGGGUGGGAAAGUUUCGGCGGUUGGGGAUGGACUCGCGGCUUAUCAGCUUGUUGGUGGGGUAGUGGCUUACCAAGGCGUUGACGGGUAGCCGGACUGAGAGGGUGACCGGCCACAUUGGGACUGAGAUACGGCCCAGACUCCUACGGGAGGCAGCAGUGGGGAAUAUUGCACAAUGGGCGGAAGCCUGAUGCAGCAACGCCGCGUGCGGGAUGACGGCCUUCGGGUUGUAAACCGCUUUCGCCUGUGACGAAGCGUGAGUGACGGUAAUGGGUAAAGAAGCACCGGCUAACUACGUG
rnacentral:rRNA from 1 species